UCCCUGAUGGUCCAGUGGUUAAGAUUCCUCGCUUUCACUGUAGGAGGCUCAGGUUCGAUUCCUGGUUGUGGAA
rnacentral:tRNA from 1 species